CUGUUAUUUAAUGGAGAUGCCCCCCAUGCAACCCCCAUAUGUUGUGUUGAUGAGGACGUUGUGUUGUUCAUAUUGAUAUCAGAGAAGUUGUUUGUGGUGUUCAUGUUUAUAUCAGAAGUUGUGUUGUUCAUGUUUAUAUCAGAAGUUGUGUACUCUCAGGUUGACUCAGGUUCCUCUGUAACUGUUGUGAUUGACAGGUCUCGGUCUGAAGGUGAAGAAGUCGUGUUCAUCAACAUCAGAUGCUGUGUGUGAGCCCCUGGAUGGAUUCUUCUGUAGUUACU